rnacentral:rRNA from 1 species
CCUACGGGUGACAGCAGUGAGGAAUAUUGGUCAAUGGGCGCGAGCCUGAACCAGCCAAGUCGCGUGAGGGAAGACGGUCCUAUGGAUUGUAAACCUCUUUUGUCGGGGAGCAAAAGACGCCACGCGUGGCGUUCCGAGAGUACCCGAAGAAACAGCAUCUGCUAACUCCGUGCCAGCAGCCGCGGUAAUACGGAGGAUGCGAGCGUUAUCCGGAUUUAUUGGGUUUAAAGGGUGCGCAGGCGGAAGAUCAAGUCAGCGGGAAAAUUGAGAGGCUCAACCUCUUCGAGCCGUUGAAACUGGUUUUCUUGAGUGGGCGAGAAGUAUGCCGAAUGCGUGGUGUAGCGGUGAAAUGCAUAGAUAUCACGCAGAACUCCGAUUGCGAAGGCAGCAUACCGGCGCUCAACUGACGCUCAUGCACGAAAGUGUGGGUAUCGAACAGGAUUAGAUACCCCUGUAGUC